AUGUACUAUCCUCACACUAUUUAUAAUCUUGUAAAGCAUGCCAUUAAUUUAAUUACAUUUUCAAGGGACACGUAGCGUGAUGUCGAACGAUUAUUUUCUUUUAAAUCAGCAUGCCUCUGUGAUUAGUGUUAAGAUUUAUGGAAGGCACAAUGUUUUCUGGUCUGGCAGGCUUAUUCAUAUUAAUGUGCCAGCCAAAACUAUUCUGGUUCAGUUUGCACAUUUCUUUCCUUCUUAA
rnacentral:lncRNA from 1 species